UACGUAGGGCGCAAGCGUUGUCCGGAAUCAUUGGGCGUAAAGGGCGCGUAGGUGGCCUGAUAAGGUUGUGGUGAAAGUCCGGGGCUCAACCCUGGAUCGGCCGUGCCGACUGUUGGGCUUGAGUACUGUAGGGGCAGGCGGAAUUCCGGGUGUAGCGGUGGAAUGCGUAGAGAUCCGGAGGAAGACCGGUGGCGAAGGCGGCCUGCUGGGCAGUUACUGACACUGAGGCGCGACAGCGUGGGGAGCAAACAGG
rnacentral:rRNA from 1 species